rnacentral:rRNA from 1 species
CACGCGAGCUGGGUUCAGAACGUCGUGAGACAGUUCGGUCCCUAUCCGUCGCGGGCGCAGGAAAUUUGAGAGGAGCUGUCCUUAGUACGAGAGGACCGGGAUGGACACACCGCUGGUGUACCAGUUGUUCCGCCAGGAGCAUCGCUGGGUAGCUAUGUGUGGCAGGGAUAAACGCUGAAAGCAUCUAAGCGUGAAGCCCCCCUCAAGAUGAGAUUUCCCAUUUCUUCGGAAAGUAAGAUCCCUGAAAGAUGAUCAGGUAGAUAGGUUUGGAGUGGAAGUGUAGCGAUACAUGGAGCGGACAAAUACUAAUCGAUCGAGGACUUAACCAAAA